GCUCUUUGAUGAAUGUCCCAUUUAUAUUUAGACGCAAUGAAACUGUUCUGGCCGUUCGGCCUGUUCUUGUUAACAGUUCGCGCCAAUUACAUUUUAAUGCAUUCUAAUUGGUUAGUCACCCUCGCUGCUGGGGGUGACUCGAAGGUUGUUAUUGUAAGAUUCUUUGUAUUGUUUGGAGGCGAUUCGCAGUCGAUUCUCCUUUUACCACUGUAACACAAAUAAAAUCACUUUAAAACAAAUUUGUGUUGGUUAUACUGCUGAUGAAGGGUCUCACUGAGCGGGGGCCCGAAGUAUCAGAACAGUAAAAGGAGAUAUAAUAAGCGUAAACAUCGCUGCAACGUCGAAAACGACCCAUAUUGAUAUUGUAAACAACGGCCUUGUGAAAGACAGCAUCGCAUUCGUAGUAUGGAUACUAACGCUACAAAUGGCAUGGAAAAUACAGAGGUCGAUCUAGUCGACGAAAGAACCUUAGAUAAACCGACUAAUGCCGAACAAAACGGGGGAAAUGGACAACAUACGGCGUCUGAACAAGUUUUCGAGGAAAAUAUGAACAGUUUGCAUAUAGAAGCCCAAACAGACAAUAUCGACGACAACGCUCAAAGUCUCAACGAAGGAAAUACAGAAAAUACAGACAGUCAAAGCCUUAUAACAAGGCCAAAAAGACAAACAAAGCCUACGCUCAAAUCUGUCCAAAAUCGGAUGCAAACCGAAGAAUUUAAAACGACAAAAUUAUGGGAUAAAGUGCAAAAUGCUAUAACAACAUUACAAACAACGCCAGACUCAAUACCACAAAUACGGU